GAUCGUGUCAACAUAAUGUACAGGAUCGAUGGAUUGCGCAAGUGUAUGCGGGAUAUGCAGGUGUGUAGCGCAGAUCCAUCUAAUCGCGCCAUUGUUCAGCAAGACAGCGUAAGUAAGAUGCCAAGCUACGUGGUCCAUACCGAGAAAACGUUGAAUGCCAAGAGAUGUACAUAGAGGAAAUGAUGUUGAGCUGAAGAAGCAGAGAAUGCGGAAGAACACAAGAAGUAUUCUGAAAGCAGUGAGAAGGUUGAA